rnacentral:rRNA from 1 species
GUUGUAUAGUCAAGUAAUUAAGUGCAUGUGGUGGAUGCCUUGGCAGUCAGAGGCGAUGAAAGACGUGAUAGCCUGCGAAAAGCUCCGGGGAGGCGGCAAAUAUCCUUUGAUCCGGAGAUGUCUGAAUGGGGGAACCCACCUACUUUAAGGUAGGUAUUGCAACAUGAAUACAUAGUGUUGCAAGGCGAACGAGGG